rnacentral:rRNA from 1 species
GCGGAAUAUUGGACAAUGGGCGAAAGCCUGAUCCAGCCAUGCCGCGUGUGUGAUGAAGGCCUUAGGGUUGUAAAGCACUUUCAUUGGUGAAGAUAAUGACGGUAACCAAAGAAGAAGCCCCGGCUAACUUCGUGCCAGCAGCCGCGGUAAUACGAAGAGGGCUAGCGUUGUUCGGAAUCACUGGGCGUAAAGCGCGCGUAGGCGGAUGCAUAAGUCAGAGGUGAAAGCCCAGGGCGCAACCUUGGAACUGCCGUUGAAACUAUGCAUCUAGAAUCUCGGAGGGGGUGGCGGAAUUCCAAAUGUAGGGGUGAAAUCCGUAGAUAUUUGGAGGAACACCGGUGGCGAAGGCGGCCACCUGGACGAGUAUUGACGCUGAGGUGCGAAAGCGUGGGGAGCAAAC